UACGUAGGGUGCAAGCGUUAAUCGGAAUUACUGGGCGUAAAGCGUGCGCAGGCGGUUAUGCAAGACAGAUGUGAAAUCCCCGGGCUUAACCUGGGAACCGCAUUUGUGACUGCAUAGCUGGAGUACGGCAGAGGGGGAUGGAAUUCCGCGUGUAGCAGUGAAAUGCGUAGAUAUGCGGAGGAACACCGAUGGCGAAGGCAGUCCCCUGGGCCUGUACUGACGCUGAGGAACGAAAGCGUGGGGAGCGAACAGG
rnacentral:rRNA from 1 species